rnacentral:tmRNA from 1 species
ACUUAUUGGACCCGGGGGCGGUACCCGGCGCCUCCACCAAAAUAUAAAAAAUUAUAUUUUGGUGGGGGCGAAAUAGGAUCGACAAGAGCGUAAAGAUUGCUCUUUUACUCGGCAUAGUACCACCGUUAUCGGACUAAAUGAGUAGUUGCAAAUGACACCUAUGCGGAAGCACGUCUCGCCGCUUAAAGUGGUGUGAAUGUUUCAAAUUAAGUCUUAAACCGUCGCAGGUUUAAGCGGGGUUCGAAGG